rnacentral:rRNA from 1 species
UACGUAGGGAGCAAGCGUUGUCCGGAAUCAUUGGGCGUAAAGCGCGCGUAGGUGGCCCGGUAAGUCCGCUCUGAAAGUCAAAGGCUCAACCUUUGAAAGCGGGUGGAUACUGCCAGGCUAGAGUCCGGAAGAGGCGAGUGGAAUUCCUGGUGUAGCGGUGGAAUGCGUAGAUAUCAGGAGGAACACCUAUAGCGAAGGCAGCUCGCUGGGACGACACUGACGCUGAGACGCGAAAGCGUGGGGAGCGAACAGG